GACGAACGCUGGCGGCGUGCUUAACACAUGCAAGUCGAACGGAAAGGCCCUGCUUUUGGGGGGUGCUCGAGUGGCGAACGGGUGAGUAACACGUGAGUAACCUGCCCUUGACUUUGGGAUAACUUCAGGAAACUGGGGCUAAUACCGGAUAGGAGCUCCUGAUGCACGGUGGGGGUUGGAAAGUUUCGGCGGUUGGGGAUGGACUCGCGGCUUAUCAGCUUGGUGGUGGGGUAGUGGCUUACCAAGGCUUUGACGGGUAGCCGGCCUGAGAGGGUGACCGGCCACAUUGGGACUGAGAUACGGCCCAGACUCCUACGGGAGGCAGCAGUGGGGAAUAUUGCACAAUGGGCGGAAGCCUGAUGCAGCAACGCCGCGUGCGGGAUGACGGCCUUCGGGUUGUAAACCGCUUUCGCCUGUGACGAAGCGUGAGUGACGGUAAUGGGUAAAGAAGCACCGGCUAACUACGUG
rnacentral:rRNA from 1 species